rnacentral:tRNA from 1 species
UAUCAAAAUGGUCUACGGCGAGGAGGCCAGGGCUGGGCGCUCUGUCAAAACCGUUGAUGUUGACGCUGCUGAUCGUGCCCGCUUCAGUAU